rnacentral:rRNA from 1 species
AGUGAACGCUGGCGGUAGGCCUAACACAUGCAAGUCGAACGGCAGCACAGUAAGAGCUUGCUCUUACGGGUGGCGAGUGGCGGACGGGUGAGGAAUACAUCGGAAUCUACUUUUUCGUGGGGGAUAACGUAGGGAAACUUACGCUAAUACCGCAUACGACCUACGAGUGAAAGCAGGGGAUCUUCGGACCUUGCGCGAUUGAAUGAGCCGAUGUCGGAUUAGCUAGUUGGCGGGGUAAAGGCCCACCAAGGCGACGAUCCGUAGCUGGUCUGAGAGGAUGGUCAGCCACACUGGAACUGAGACACGGUCCAGACUCCUACGGGAGGCAGCAGUGGGGAAUAUUGGACAAUGGGCGCAAGCCUGAUCCAGCCAUACCGCGUGGGUGAAGAAGGCCUUCGGGUUGUAAAGCCCUUUUGUUGGGAAAGAAAAGCAGCAGGUUAAUACCCCGCUGUUCUGACGGUACCCAAAGAAUAAGCACCGGCUAACUUCGUG